rnacentral:lncRNA from 1 species
GAAGAACACGAGUGUCACAGCAAUGCCAGUAAUGACUCAGGCCAUAUCCUGCUGGUCGUAGUAGUUCUCCGUCUCCCCAGAGAGGCUGCUAUUAAAUGACAUAUCAUUGCAGUGGCCAACGAACCAUUUAGAAGGAAGCACUUUACUUUGAAGAAGAUAUCUGAGGGUUUUCAAGUUGAAUGUGAAACUGUGGCCCCCAGUUCUGUACCCAAGACACCGUGUCCCUUUCCUUAAAAUGGACAUCACCUUCUAUUUCCUCACCUGAUUCAAACAGGAUUCUAGAAGACCUGAUGACUGUGUUUCCACAGGCAAGAAGACUCUGAAAACAGCCAAGCCGCACCACUGUGUUUUAGAAGAUACUACAAAAAAACCAACCUUCAUGACAACGUCCUAGAGGCAGAGCUCCAGACAUUGCUGGAAGCAGAGAUGGACAAGAUGUUACCCAUACUGGUUUGGGACCCAUGACCCAUUUACCCCAAGGAGAAAUUAUCCAUGUGCCAGGCUGGCUUAGCACCCAGACCCUCAAACAAACAUUCCACCAUCCUGCUUGAGGAGUAAGCUUUUACACGAACUGUCCUCAGCACCAUUUGGAAAUGUCUUUGUCUUACUGGUGAAAAACUGGCCUAAGGAUUUUAAUACUGAAGUUCACAGUUAAGCGGACAAGGGGCUGGACACUUCCCUUGAAAUUUUCUACAUGGAACAACCCUUUUCUACCCCAUCUCCAGUUUACUUCAUGUUUUCCUAUGCUCACCUUCCUUUGUGUACUGAGGCACAGAGUCCACUUCUGAUGGGUGUGAGAAGCUAAAAGAAAUUCAAAUAAUACAUAUUUGGUCAACUUGAUGCAAAAUACCGGAUGUGAUAGUGGUUAUGGCCAUCGCCGAAGAGUAGAACAUGGAACCAAUCCACGGAAUUGGAGAGAUGCAGUAAAUGCAUUUGCAGAGCUGUUACCUCUGCCCCGCCUGCUCCCCCACUCACUGAGAGGGCAGAUGAAGACACUUUCUCCCCUGUCUCUGGCUGCGGACGGUCCAGGCACUGCCACCUCAGUGCUCCCUCCUCAGGUACCAACCUCUUCGCUGCAUGGUUUCAAAAGGCAGAUAAGCCAAUGGCCCUAGACCUGCCUUCCAGAAGAGAUCGGAGUGAGCCCCAUGUUUAUCCGAAGGAGUGCUGAAUAGUCAAGUAUCAGGUGAUUUGAGCCCCCCUAGAAUUUGCUAAUGAAAUAAAGCCUUUUUUCUUCUAAACAAAAUUACUUUUAGGUAAAUGAAUAUGUUGACACCUCAAAUAAGGUGUGCUCUGCCACAUGAGAAAAAACAAGUGUUUUUAUCCUUGUAAUUAUCCAUUUUGAUCACUCUUUCUAUUCAAGGAAUCGCUUCUAAAACUGAAUGCAUGUGAAACAUACAAAAGAACAAUUAGAUAAAGAAAAUCCUUUAAUAUAAAAAAGUUGCAAGAUUAAAG